rnacentral:rRNA from 1 species
CGUAGGCGGCAAGGCAAGUCAGAUGUGAAAUCCCCGGGCUCAACCUGGGAAUUGCAUCUGAAACUGCAGUGCUUGAGUCCUGGAGGGGAUAGUGGAAUUCCCAGUGUAGCGGUGAAAUGCGUAGAUAUUGGGAGGAACACCUGCAGCGAAGGCGGCUAUCUGGACAGUGACUGACGCUGAUGCGCGAAAGCCAGGGGAGCGAACG